UCUAAAAGCUGUGGAUUAAUUUUACAAGAGUUAGUUGGACUAACCAUGCAUGAAACAGAGCCAGCAGCCAAGAGUCUCCACAUUUAUGAGGCAUACCUUCACCUCAUCAUCGUUCUUUCGUGGAGUUGAAAAGCGGGGUGUGGCUUAAGAAGAUUGGGAAAGCCUGUUCUAAAUUGUCAAAUAUAUUAGUGGUAUGCAAAAUGGGCUAUUUUUCAGAGGGGAUUGUAGACCUGGGGAUAGGCGUGCGCCAACUCUUGUCGGGUUGUAGAAGAGGGUGAGGGGCUAUUUCGUCUCGCAUCCUUUUUAUGCAUACCCAUCCAUACAUGUUUGAGCCACAAAAAAAUAUACCCGAUUAAAACCUCUGGUGGCUGGAAUAUAUCCCAACGCGUCAUCACAGGGCUUUCCCACUCCGCGACGAGAGGUGCUAGCCACCAGCUAGCGCACGAGCUAACAGUAUUGGGCCUAGUAAUAAUAACUAAACAAGUCGCGAUUGCACCGAAUAGCCACUGAUACGAAUGAAGGCGCUCAAGUCAGUGGCUGAAAUGCGACGUUGGGCACCAUUUUAGCCACAGUUUAAAAUCAGGAAAACGGAAAUGGUAAAAAAAAACAGUUUGACGCUAGAGCUCCACAAUUGAGUACUACAUACUCCUUGGUCUUUGCACGUUUUCAGCAAUUAUCUUAAAACAUAUAUAUGAAUUCUCUCUAUAGGGUCUUAGGCCAACUGAUUUAGACCAUUUCUUUCUCCAACACCCAACAACGACCAUUAUAACACCAAGAAACCCUGAUGGGACAAGCCGAAAGUCGCAACAACCACCUUCGAAUUGUGAGGAAGCGAUCAAAGUCACAGUUGGACCCAUUUUCAGGGGUAAAAAAAAAAUAACAGAACACUGACUUGAUGUUUCCGCUCUUGACAGCAGUCCCGGCAAAGAAAUUUGACAAUGGCUGAAACGUGAUAGUGGACGGCUAUCGAUUACAAAAAGAUUGAGAAGGCUAGCUAAUGGGCAGUCGUGCACAUCCACGGCCAACCUGAUCGUGUUGGGUUUUGGAUUACGCCAGUUGGUCGUUUUUAGAAGUGCACCUCGACGAAGUGCAAAUCUAAUGCCACAAACAGGAACUCUGUUUGCGAGGAUGUUGUUUUUGACGAAUCCGCCCCUGAAUCCAAACGGGCAGGCUGCGAAAACAAAACGUUGCUGAUGAAUAAAAACACAUGUUCAAGCUUACACGGCAAUAUGACAUAACGGUGACACAUUGCCAGUAGUCAUGGGGGGGGUUUCACCGUCACCCCAUUUGUUAAGCAUUUUGCCUGUUUCUGCUUAAAACACAAUCCUUUUUUAACUUUUCAUCGACACUUUUUAAAGACUGUAUGUCUUGAGACAAUGUUAUUCAUUUCCAAGGAAAGUUUUUCCUGGCAGGCCGACACGUUGUCACCCCCCCAGGCUGCAUAAUAAUGCCGCACACACAACCGUUUGCUCACAUGCCUCUUUGGCCUACAUCUCACACCAAUAUUUAUAGACUCCAAGCACAUAGUGUAACUUAAACAGCCGCAACGCAACGAGGGUUCUUUUAGGUAAUUUUUCUAGCAGAUUUCGACAAUUACAACCCCACGCACUACAAGUCAGCGGCGCCAUUGGGCAAAUCAUCUCGUUACUACUGUUUAGCUGUCGUCAAGGAGGGUGGACACUGAACUUUGGAGCGUGGGCCCGGACACGCGCGGCGGCACUGCGGGUAAUCCGUCACCGGAAGGCUCCCUGACAAGCGCCGCCGUGUCACGCACCCACGUACGCACGAGCAUGAUGGAUGAGCGACCGCUGGGCACCGUCACCGUGAAGUCUGAUCUACACGAUGCGGAUAACUGCCCUGGGACACGACGAAAAGGGAAAAUGGAGGGUCACGGAUGAGCUCGAGCCUAACCCAGUUGAAUUACUGCAAAAACACAUAUGGCGCACCCUGGACUGGUCAUCGGUCAAUCAUAGGAUGAUUGAUUCAUUGAUUGAUCCACAGAGUCGGCUACGGGAAUCACUCGACUCCAAUGGAAGUAAAAACACCCAUCCAUUUUCUACCACUUAUCCCGUUCAAGAUCAGUUUGAGCUGGAACCUAACAGAGUUGAUUUGAGGACAAAAGGUGGACUACACCCUGGAUUGUCCCCCAGUCAAGAAUUUUUUUGUGUAACUUGAGUGUACCAUCCGCUGCGCUUCAGUCAUGUGAUUUGUGACCUUUAAAGAGUGCCCGUAGACUGUUGCCAGGCAGAAAGCACCUGUUCACUGUUUGCUCUCGCAUGAAUAAUCUAACGCAUUGCUAACGCAUGUCAUCACCUUCUGAUUUAUUGGAAGUGGAACUGUUGCGCCGGUGAAGGCACCACACGAGGUUCUCGAUUAGGUGUCUGGAAACUCUACCGAUUUUAGAUGAUAGCAGAUAAUAAGACUCAAUUGUAUUUACUGCUUAUCCUUAUUAUGGUCGCUGGUGAGUUGGAGCCUAUCCCAGUUGACUUUGGGCGAGAGGCCUGAUAGAAACACAUGCAAAUAUAUAUAUAUGUAUACAAAAUCA